rnacentral:rRNA from 1 species
CCUGCCUUCAAGAGGGGGAUAACAUUCUGAAAAGAAUGCUAAUACCGCAUGACAUAUCGGAACCACAUGGUUCUGAUAUCAAAGAUUUUAUCGCUUGAAGAUGGACUCGCGUCCGAUUAGUUAGUUGGUGAGGUAACGGCUCACCAAGACCGCGAUCGGUAGCCGGACUGAGAGGUUGAACGGCCACAUUGGGACUGAGACACGGCCCAGACUCCUACGGGAGGCAGCAGUGGGGGAUAUUGCGCAAUGGGGGCAACCCUGACGCAGCAACGCCGCGUGAAGGAUGAAGGUUUUCGGAUUGUAAACUUCUUUUAUUAAGGACGAAAAAUGACGGUACUUAAUGAAUAAGCUCCGGCUAACUACGUGCCAGCAGCCGCGGUAAUACGUAGGGAGCAAGCGUUGUCCGGAUUUACUGGGUGUAAAGGGUGCGUAGGCGGCUUUGCAAGUCAGAUGUGAAAUCUAUGGGCUCAACCCAUAAACUGCAUUUGAAACUGUAGAGCUUGAGCGAAGUAGAGGCAGGCGGAAUUCCCCGUGUAGCGGUGAAAUGCGUAGAGAUGGGGAGGAACACCAGUGGCGAAGGCGGCCUGCUGGGCUUUAACUGACGCUGAGGCACGAAAGCGUGGGUAGCAAACAGGAUUAGAUACCCUGGUAGUCCACGCUGUAAACGAUGACUAAUAGGUGUGGGGGGUCUGACCCCUUCCGUGCCGGAG